rnacentral:lncRNA from 1 species
GCCGCCUCCUGGACAAUCGAGAUAUAGGGUAAACAGUAUAUAACAUGAUCUGAACUAUAUUGAGGUAUAAUAUUAUACAACUAAGGGUUUGAUAAUGCAUUACUUCUUAAUAGCCAUGAUCUAGACUCUAAUGACUUAUUAUAUCAUAUGGCUAAGGGUUCGAUAAUGCAUUAGUUCUCAAUGGCCAUGCAAGGUUACUAGAAAAAUGGGAGAGUGA